AACGAACGCUGGCGGCGCGCCUAAUACAUGCAAGUCGAGCGAGAAGACGUAGCAAUACGUUUGUAAAGCGGCGAACGGGUGAGGAAUACAUGGGUAACCUACCCUCGAGUGGGGAAUAACUAGCCGAAAGGUUAGCUAAUACCGCGUACGCUCCUUGGACUUCGGUUCAGGGAGGAAAGCGAUACCGUGGGUAUCGCGCUCUUGGAUGGGCUCAUGUCCUAUCAGCUUGUUGGUGAGGAACGGCUCACCAAGGCUUCGACGGGUAGCUGGUCUGAGGA
rnacentral:rRNA from 1 species